AUUCUGUCACCCAGACUGGAGUGCAGCAUCACUAUCUGGGCUCACUGCAACCUCUGCCUCUGGGUUUCGAGCAAUUCUGGUGCCUCCGCCUUCUGAGUACCUGGGACUACAGGUCCAAAAGGGAGUGUGGUUUCAAAGGCAAGGCCUUCCCAGUGCCAUACCUCCACUUACUUCUCCAUCCAGGAGCUUAGAGGUCUUUGUUUAACUUUCACGCAUGCGGGAAGAUGGACUGCCCAGGAUCAGUGCUCGAGACAUUUGGCAGACUGUAUAGAUCAGCUGACACCACCCAGACUGGUAAUCUGGCUCAACCAGUUCUGCGAUCCCACUCAGGAACAGAAGACAGCAGGGAAACUUCACUCUGACGCCUCUACGAUUCCAUCUCCAACCUGACCAGUUAGCACUCCCUGCUUCCGGAGCCCUUACCUGCCAAAUCAUCUUUACAAUCUCCAGUCCUCAAAUGCUUGGGGAGA
rnacentral:lncRNA from 13 species